GCGGUGGAGCAUGUGGUUAAUUCGACGCAACGCGAAGAACCUUACCAGGGCUUGACAUCCCCUGACCGCGUAUGAAAGUACGUUUUCACCCUCGGGUGACAGGGAGACAGGUGGUGCAUGGUUGUCGUCAGCUCGUGUCGUGAGAUGUUGGGUUAAGUCCCGCAACGAGCGCAACCCCUACGUUUAGUUGCUAACGCGUGAAGGCGAGCACUCUAGACGAACUGCCGUUGACAAAACGGAGGAAGGUGGGGAUGACGUCAAAUCAUCAUGCCCCUUAUGUUCUGGGCUACACACGUGCUACAAUGGCCGGUACAGACGGACGCAAAGCCGCGAGGUGGAGCAAAUCCUAAAAAGCCGGUCUCAGUUCGGAUUGCAGGCUGCAAUUCGCCUGCAUGAAGUCGGAAUCGCUAGUAAUCGCAGGUCAGCAUACUGCGGUGAAUACGUUCCCGGGCCUU
rnacentral:rRNA from 1 species